AAACCGCGGGUUUGAUGUUGCUCUCCUGUCACAUUUUCGAGUUUUGAGUUGCAGUGUCGCGUGGUGAACGACAGUAAAAUUGGCGGGGAAAACAUGACAAGUAUUCAGACCUUGAUGACCGUGAAAACAACUAGUGAAAACUACUAAACAGCUAAGGAACACAAGGAAAUCUUGUUAAGAGGUUUAAUACUUGGAAACAAUGUUAAUGGUGACUACAGACUAGAAAGAGAAAACGGAGUAAGCUUACACUUACGGCAGCUGUUCAAAGGGAUGAGGUUCAGAAGAAGGAGUUUGUCAAAAUUGCAGGUAGCCAGUUAGGGAAGUUAAGACUGUUACAGAAUGGAAGCUGAUGAGUGUAAAUUAACGAGGAAUGGGUAAGUCACUGAAGUACAGGCUAGCCAGUUGGAGGCAGGUAAAGUGGUGAAAGGCAGGUUAAGUCGAUAAGGGUAUGUGAGAUGAUGGAGGUUGGAAUACCUAAUCAAUAUAGAUAUGUUCAAAUGAAAGUAUUGUUCUUUUAUUUUUUUACUUGCUCUUGUAUAGAUAAGGGCUUCUUGGUCCCCCCGCAUAAUUCAAUGCGGUAUUAACGAUCACUAGAUCGGGGUAUCACCCUUGCCAAGGGCUCAUUGUCGCCAAGUUUUUAUCUGACGCUAUCUUGUAACCUAGGGCAAUGGGAGGCUAGAGGUGGGAUAUCACUUGCCCAAGGUGAACACCUAGGGUAGUGGAGGGAGGAAACGCCUGACAUCUCCAUUCUACACCCCAUGGAUGUGUAGCCACUGCCCCUCAGGGGUUUACAUGGUUUUCCUUCCAUGCAUGGUCCCAUUGACCAUGACCAUUUCUGCUCUUGCGUCUUGGGUGUAAAGUUCAAAGCUGCUCGACUUCCUAAAA